GAAGCAGCAGUGGAUUGCGAGUUUCAGAUGAUUCACCAAUAGGAAAUCCAUUUGUAUCAGUGGGCCACAGCCGCCGGUAAGAUGCAAUAAAAUCUGUUAGAUGCUAUUUGACAAAAAACAAAUAGCUCCACAUUGAUCGUCCCAGAAAUCAGCGGUACCACACAGUGCCUGCUUGUAUUGUGCUGUUCCGUUUAUCGGAGAGAAUAAACUACAUCUAGGGGGAUAAACGAGCUGACCAACCGAAAGGGAGUACUCUACAAGACAGGUCCAGACUAUCAAAUGCCGCACUCGAAAAAUCAGACGGCAAAGAAAUAUAUGGUACUAUAAAGGGACAAAAACAUCGCCGUUACAAUGGCAGUGCGGCUGCUGCACUGCUGCUGCUGACCUUCGUGGGCGUUGAUGAAGGGGGCAAACAAGAACCAAGCCAGGUCUAAAAUGGUCGGGCCCGGCGGCCAUCUUGCAGCAGCCGAUAACAUUAACGGAAGGGGGUGAGCGGUCGAGGGGGUAUGUGGACGUUCGUCUGUCGGAUAUCUCCCGUUGCUGCUGUCAAACUGUUUUUUGCGACUGAUUGACGGAGAUGGGAAUCCUUUUCUACCCGCCAGCUAUAACCGCAACGUAUCCGCCUUUGGGAAGAAGAAUCACGCACGACCGAAAAAGACGAAUGAUUUCAGUAUGUAGAAGCCACAAGCACCCAUUGUCCAGUAACGCCGUCCAAUUCGACCCAUGAGCUUCAGGACAGUUAACUGGACGCAACAACCUGUCCCUAUCUCUCACGACAUUGUUGAGGUCUUCUCUUCCGCGUACCAUGUCCCCUUAGAAGAUGAUAUUCGUAUUUAUCAUAAUGGUAUUAGUAAACUUCAUUCGAACGUAAUCGUAUCUAACGUCUAAUUUAAGUACUUUUAAGUAAUUUAAAUACUUUCUCUCCCUUUCUUCUUCUCGGAGAAUAGGGAGAUUUUCUAG